rnacentral:rRNA from 1 species
AUUGAACGCUGGCGGCAGGCCUAACACAUGCAAGUCGAGCGGGGGUAGCAAUACCCUAGCGGCGAACGGGUGAGGAAUGCUUGGGAAUCUGCCUGGUAGUGGGGGAUAACGUUCCGAAAGGAACGCUAAUACCGUAUACGUCCUACGGGAGCAAGGGGGGGAUCUGCGCACCUCUCUCUUCCAGAUGCGCCCAAGCGGGAUUAGCUAGUUGGUGAGGUAAAGGCUCACCAAGGCUACGAUCCCUAGCUGGUCUGAGAGGAUGAUCAGCCACACUGGAAUUGAGGCACAGUCCAGACUCCUACGGGAUGCAGCAGUGGGGAAUAUUGGACAAUGGGCGAAAGCCUGAUCCAGCCAUGCCGCGUGUGUGAAGAAGGCCUUCGGGUUGUAAAGCACUUAAGCGGGGAGGAAGGGCUCACGGCUAAUAACUGUGAGCAUUGACGUUACCCGCAGAAUAAGCACCGGCUAACUCUGUGCCAGCCGCCGCGGUAAUAC